GUGAGGAAUAUUGCGCAAUGGAGGCAACUCUGACGCAGCCAUGCCGCGUGCAGGAAGAAGGCGCUACGCGUUGUAAACUGCUUUUAACCGGGAAGAAACCCCAGGACGUGUCCUGGGUUGACGGUACCGGAGGAAUAAGCACCGGCUAACUUCGUGCCAGCAGCCGCGGUAAUACGAAGGGUGCAAGCGUUAUCCGGAUUCAUUGGGUUUAAAGGGUGCGUAGGCGGAGCGUUAAGUCAGUGGUGAAAUCCUGCAGCUUAACUGUAGACUUGCCAUUGAUACUGGCGCUCUUGAGUGCGCUUGAAGUGGGCGGAAUGUGCCGUGUAGCGGUGAAAUGCUUAGAUAUGGCACAGAACACCAAUUGCGAAGGCAGCUCACUAAGGCAAUACUGACGCUGAGGCACGAAAGCGUGGGGAUCGAACAGGAUUAGAAACCCUGGUAGUCC
rnacentral:rRNA from 1 species